AUUGAACGCUGGCGGCAGGCCUAACACAUGCAAGUCGAACGGUAACAGGAAGACGCUUGCUUCUUUGCUGACGAGUGGCGGACGGGUGAGUAAUGUCUGGGAAACUGCCUGAUGGAGGGGGAUAACUACUGGAAACGGUAGCUAAUACCGCAUAACGUCGCAAGACCAAAGAGGGGGACCUUCGGGCCUCUUGCCAUCGGAUGUGCCCAGAUGGGAUUAGCUAGUAGGUGGGGUAACGGCUCACCUAGGCGACGAUCCCUAGCUGGUCUGAGAGGAUGACCAGCCACACUGGAACUGAGACACGGUCCAGACUCCUACGGGAGGCAGCAGUGGGGAAUAUUGCACAAUGGGCGCAAGCCUGAUGCAGCCAUGCCGCGUGUAUGAAGAAGGCCUUCGGGUUGUAAAGUACUUUCAGCGGGGAGGAAGGGAGUAAAGUUAAUACCUUUACUCAUUGACGUUACCCGCAGAAGAAGCACCGGCUAACUCCGUG
rnacentral:rRNA from 1 species